GUGAAGUCGGGACGAGACUUGCCUGCUUGCCGCACCUCCCUCUCUCGAUGUGCGCCACCGGCUCACUUCCCUCGAUCUGCGCUCAGCUCUUCCACUGCGGCACAUCAAGGGAAGAAGAUGGGAUUGGCGGGCUAGCGGCUGCGGAGCGCGGGCGGCCUGCGGCGGGCGAGGGCCUGUCGGUCGCGAGCACGGCCGAGGGCCUGCUGGGCGGCGAAGAUGGGAUACUCCGGCGGGCUACCAGCGGCGGCAGAGGCUUAGCGCCUGCUUCUUCUCCUGAUGGAUCAUCGCCAACUCACUGCUGCUCAUAGAGACUUCCAAGGACAGUUACAACAAUUCUGGAGCAUGUAUCGUCCUCAGUCCUCCUGAUUUUGCUACCGCCAUUUCCAUAGUAUUCAAGAUGUAAAACCUCGACAUGUGAUAUGUUAUUAAUAGGAUCAUCACGAAGCGGCGAACUCGCGAUGGGAAGAAGGAAAACAUGGAUUUCUCCGUGCACUCUAGGUCGAUGCCUCCUUAUGGUCUGGGCCAUGGGCUCCUUGCGAACCCUGGAGGGGGCCCCUAGAUUUCGGGGGCUCUGGGCGGCCGCCCUCCUGCCACCCCCUCAGGGCCGGCCCUAGUCACCCCACCCUGCCGCCGCCGCCGCCCAAUUCCGGUGCCCUCGCCAGCAGUCUGCACCCACAUACUACCUUCCCCGCACACCGCUAUCUUCCCACGUCGCCGCCACCACCGCCUUGCCGCUGGGCCACCGCAGCUCCCCUGACGUCGUCGUGAGCAUGACCUCCCUUCCCGCGCCCCCGGCCAGCUCCUUCGACAGCGCCGCCACGCUCGCCGGACUACGCCAACCUA